rnacentral:rRNA from 1 species
CCUACGGGUGGCAGCAGUGAGGAAUAUUGGUCAAUGGCCGGAAGGCUGAACCAGCCAAGCCGCGUGAAGGACGAAGGUGCCAAGCAUUGUAAACUUCUUUUGUCAAGGGAAAAAAUCAGGCUCGAGAGCCUGACCGAGGGUACUUGAAGAAAAAGCAUCGGCUAACUCCGUGCCAGCAGCCGCGGUAAUAAGGGGGAUGCGAGCGUUAUCCGGAUUUAGUGGGUUUAAAGGGUGGGUAGGCGGAUUGUUAAGUCAGUGGUAAAAGCCCGGGGCUCAACCCCGGCGAGCCGUUGAAACUGGCGUUCUUGAGAUGUCGAGAGGUAUGCGGAAUGCGCAGUGUAGCGGUGAAAUGCUUAGAUAUUGCGCAGAACUCCGAUUGCGAAGGCAGCAUACCGGCGGCGAUCUGACGCUGAGGCACGAAAGCGUGGGUAGCAAACAGGAUUAGAUACCCUUGUAGUC